GUGACGAACAGAAGCAGCACUUGAGCCGGACUCUGACCGAGAACUACGAGCAGGCUGGAGCCACGCAGAUCCCCACCUCAGCAGACCGGCUGUAACAGGAGGCGCUCAGGAGCCCCAGAUGGUGACUGAAUGCCGAGCUGGACAGCACAGAUGCAGGACGCUGCCUCCAUCGCGGAAAGCUCUCCUGGACAGCACUGUUCCAGAUCCUGAUGGUCCUCACAACGGCGCAGGGUGCAGGUCUUUCAUUGGCCCAGUUCUACAUGUAAGUGGCCCAGCAGUCGUGCGGCACCAGCACACACAGACAGAGACACA